UAUAACAGAAACCAUAAAGCUAAGUUCAUAUAAUACGCUUUCAUAGGUUUCCUUGAGAAGUGUUUACAAGGCAGCACAUUUCUAUAUUUAGGCGGUUUACAAGCUGGCUGGCUUUUAAAAACUAUCUUACAAAGCAGCUUGUGUUCUGAAAUCCCCGGUUUUAUCCAGGCUUAUCCCUCAGACUCAUGCAGUCUGUUCGGGAUUGUGAUCAGCAAAUGAAGUGAAAACUGAAAUGAGGUAACUAGUACAUGCUCUUUGUUUCGUAUAUAUUUCCCAGAUAACCACGCUUUCUUUUUCCUUGGAGUAAGAACCUACCCAGAAAUCUUGUCUCUCCCUCGGAGCAAUGAACUAACGGGGAACACAGUUCUGUUUCACAAACGGCAGAUGUGAUGAGAAGCAGGCCGACGAACAUCCUUGCAGCUCAUUCUGAAUGGUCUGAUAAUUCCCUGUCGCGCAUGAAUGGCCCUCGUGAGAACGUGGAGAAUAUGUGGAGUGUGAUAGAGGCCCAUUCUCCUAGCCUAGAUUGCCAAGUGUAUCCAGUGACGCCUCUGAUUUAAAAUGGUGGAAUGAAUACGCUCAGGGGACGCAUUCGGCAUUGUGAGUGCUGUAAUUCAAGCAAUCAAAAUAUAGAAGGAGACAUUUUCUGACUUCCUGCCAAGGGAUUUGCUCUAAAUUGUGCCUUUUAAAUAAAAUAUCACACACUGAAUCAUGUACACUGCCAAUCUGAAAAAUGAAGGCAGACCAGAGGGUUUUCUACUGGACAACGUUUACGUAAUGCCCACUUGACCUGAUUUACUUCUGGCAUGAAAAUGACUGGGGGAUGCACACUUUUCAUUCAAUUCCUUCACAUGGCUAGAUGUUCAAAAAUUCCCCAGUUGUUCAUAGGGUGAGAGUCUCCCCCGGCAUGUUCUUCUUUCUCCUUUGAUAUUUCCCUUUCAGAACAGUGAGCAUACCUCCAUUACCACAACCACUAAAUUGGUUUUUCAACUAGUUUGCCAUUCUUUAAUGGCUAUACA